rnacentral:rRNA from 1 species
GGAAGGAUCAUUAUUGAAUUAUGUUUUCUGGAUGGGUUGUAGCUGGCUCUUUGGAGCAUGUGCACGCCUGCCUGGACUUCAUUUUCAUCCACCUGUGCACCUUUUGUAGUCUUUUUCAGGUAUUGAGUGAAGUGGUCAGUCUAUCAGCUCUUUGCUGGAUGUAAGGACUUGCAGUGUGAUAACAGUGCUGUCCUUUACCUUGACCAUGGAAUCUUUUUCCUGUUAGAGUCUAUGUUAUUCAUUAUACUCUUAGAAUGUCAUUGAAUGUCUUUACAUGGGCUUUUAUGCCUAUGAAAAUUAUUAUACAACUUUCAGCAACGGAUCUCUUGGCUCUCGCAUCGAUGAAGAACGCAGCGAAAUGCGAUAAGUAAUGUGAAUUGCAGAAUUCAGUGAAUCAUCGAAUCUUUGAACGCAUCUUGCGCUCCUUGGUAUUCCGAGGAGCAUGCCUGUUUGAGUGUCAUUAUAUUCUCAACUCUCUGAUACCUUGUUGUAAAGGAGAGCUUGGAUUGUGGAGGUUUGCUGGCCACUCACUUGGGGUCAGCUCCUCUGAAAUGCAUUAGCGGAACCGUCUGCGAUCUGCCACAAGUGUGAUAACUUAUCUACACUGGCGAGGGGAUUGCUUUCUGUGAUGUUCAGCUUCUAAUCGUCUGAGGACAAUUUCUUGAAUGCUUGACCUCAAAUCAGGUAGGACUACCCGCUGAACUUAA